AGUGAGCGCUGGCGGUAGGCCUAACACAUGCAAGUCGAACGGCAGCACAGUAAGAGCUUGCUCUUACGGGUGGCGAGUGGCGGACGGGUGAGGAAUUCAUCGGAAUCUACUUUUUCGUGGGGGAUAACGUAGGGAAACUUACGCUAAUACCGCAUACGACCUACGGGUGAAAGCAGGGGAUCUUCGGACCUUGCGCGAUUGAAUGAGCCGAUGUCGGAUUAGCUAGUUGGCGGGGUAAAGGCCCACCAAGGCGACGAUCCGUAGCUGGUCUGAGAGGAUGAUCAGCCACACUGGAACUGAGACACGGUCCAGACUCCUACGGGAGGCAGCAGUGGGGAAUAUUGGACAAUGGGCGCAAGCCUGAUCCAGCCAUACCGCGUGGGUGAAGAAGGCCUUCGGGUUGUAAAGCCCUUUUGUUGGGAAAGAAAAGCAGCAGGUUAAUACCCCGCUGUUCUGACGGUACCCAAAGAAUAAGCACCGGCUAACUUCGUG
rnacentral:rRNA from 1 species